rnacentral:rRNA from 1 species
UACGUAGGGCGCAAGCGUUGUCCGGAAUUAUUGGGCGUAAAGAGCUCGUAGGCGGUUUGUCGCGUCUGCUGUGAAAACCUAAGGCUCAACCUUGGGCUUGCAGUGGGUACGGGCAGACUAGAGUGCGGUAGGGGUGACUGGAAUUCCUGGUGUAGCGGUGGAAUGCGCAGAUAUCAGGAGGAACACCGAUGGCGAAGGCAGGUCACUGGGCCGCAGCUGACGCUGAGGAGCGAAAGCAUGGGGAGCGAACAGG